rnacentral:lncRNA from 14 species
CAUGGAGCUCUGAAAGGGACUUUGUGAUGAUGUGGUUAUCAUGACACCAGCAAGAGUCCUGCUUCUUGUGCACAUAUUAUCAUUCUGGGAAUCUUGUUACCCUAGUUACCCCAGAAUGUUUCCUUCUGACUGCAUUCUUUCUAUCUGUAAGUAACUCUUUUACUCAACAGGGAACAAGGGGCCAGAUGGCAUGCAGACAUGUGCUUAAGGCUGGGGGCCUUGUUGGCAGAGGAAGUAUGGCUGCUGAAGCCAUUCCAUUCUGCCAGGUGAGUAUCCUUGAAGCAACUCAUUCAGAUAACCAAGCCAGAAGACUGUUGACUGUGUGGAGUGGAAGAUGUUGGUAGGGGCCCAGGUGUGUGCUGCUUUCAGAGGUUAUUUACAUGGAAGUGAACGCAGUAGAAGAAUGAAUUUAUUUGGAAAAUCUGGUGGAUUCAGGUGGAGAAACUGAGCAGACUUUGGCUUUGCAUUAGCACUGUGCACAAGAGCUGGUGGUGAGGACAUCUCUUGUAACAUUUUUAUGCCUCUUUAUAUAUAAGAAUAAAUUUAUGGAGAACUUUUUCCAUGCUUCUUAAAAAAGCAU